AUGUAUGAUCCAGACUCCCGGUCACGCUGCCAGGCAACACCAUCGGUCACCCCUAACGCAAUACAUGUGAACGGAUCACACACCGUCCCAUGUAGAGACAGGUCCUCAUUGAAGAGGCUCCCCUUCACUGGUCCUCGUCCCACUAUACGCUUGAGCUUGAUAUUCGCUUCACGUCUUCGCCCUCGUUACGGACCAGCGGAUGGCUCUCCCCUCCCCCCUUCCCCCGCACCCCAGGCGGUGGCUACGUCGGGCUUGCUCCCCCCUUCUCAGUCUCUGGCGUCCCCGUGUCGCCCCCGUGCGGUCUCGCCCUCGGCCCCUUCUCCCUCUUCGCCGUCCUCUCCGCGCUCAGUCCUGCGGGCUCCUGCCCCCGCUAACAGGUUCUGGGCUCUUGGCUCUGAGGCUUCGGACUCUGACUCUGAUUCCCCUCCCCCUUCCCCUUCUCAUUCGGCGUCUCCGCGCGGUGUGCCUGCUACCCCGGCUCCGGCGCGGCGCCGGAAGUUUGCGCCUGGUGGGCGUGGACGUCCAGCCCCCGUUGAUGGUUGGUCGCGCGUGUCGCGCGGGCGGCGUCGGGCCCCUCCGCCGUCCCCCGAUCAUGGUAUCCUUGGGUCGGGCUGUUGCUCCGCGCAGGCGUCCGAGUCUGGCUCUCCUUCCCCUUCUCCGACGUCUCUCCCCGUCUGUGCGCCGUACGUGGGAGCUUUGGUGGCCUCGCCGCCGGCGGCUGCUCCGCCCGUAACCCUAGAUCUGGGGGGUGCAUCCUCUGGUUCUGCCUGCGCCUGGGCCGUGGGCCUCCGCGUCGCUGGGUGGGCCUGUUGGGUCGGGGGCCCGCCUUGCCCUGGCUUGUGUUUCGGAGUCCCCCCCUUCCCCGUGUGGCUCUUGGGCCUCGGGUGGCCCAGGCCCACCCCCCUCUCCUUCACCAGCCCAACCCACCGGCCCCGCCCUGGCACGGUCCGGCAUCUCUUUUCGACCUUCGUCGUCUCCGCUCCCCCAUUCGUGUCUUUUCCAGAUCUGCUUCUCCCCCUCCCCUCUCUCUCUCUCUCGUUCGCGUGCAUGGUCGCGAUGGAUCGCUCACGCGGGUCCUCCAGCGAGGCCUUGUCUGGCCAAAAGCGGAGGCGGGAGGGCUCGGCGGAGGGUGAGGCCGGUCUGGUGUAUGAGGCUGCCCUCCGCUCCAAGCUUCAGGCGGAGCGUGGCCUUGCGGGGGGGGAGCCUGGUGUCCCUUCUUCCCUUGGAUCUGGCUCGAUGGCGGCCGGUCCUUCGAUUCCGGGUGGAUCCGCGUCGAGUGCCUCAGAUCCUUGGGAGGCGGCGGCCGCGGCGAGUCGGGCUGGCUCUGCUGGCUUGACCUCGCGUCCUCCUCCUCCUCGUGGUGUCCCGGCCCCGGCGCGGGCUCCGGUGCGUGCUCCGGCGGCCCCUAGAGGCGGCCCUGGUCGGUACGGCCCCGGCGGCUCUUUCGGGGCGCCGGACCGUCGUCCCUCCUCCGGUGGUCGUGGUCCUGUUGCUGCGUCUGGUCAUGUUGGUGAUGGUCUGCUUCCUCCGCCUCCCUCCGCUCCGGUACAUGUUCCUCCCCCAACCCAAGUUGCUAAUCCCACACUCACCUGUUUCGUGUGUCACCGUCCUGGGAAUUUCCAAUCUAGAUGCCAAAAUCCCCCCUUUUGUCUGAUCUGCAGAGAGGACGGCCACCUAACUAUUGACUGUCAAAAUCGCAUCAAACCUCCUGCUUUUGUGCAUUAUGGUCUCGGCCUCCCUGGAUGCUCUUUCUUCGCCCUCGACCGUGAGGUUCCCCAUGCGGUUCCGAUCCCUGCCCUAUCCAACUCCGGCAUCAUUACUGUCAAAGAUAAGAAAAUCACUCCCCAGAUCCUUCUUGAUGAGCUUCGCCUAUGGGAUGAUGGGGGUUGGGAUUCGCAGAUCCGCCAACUUUCUGAGUAUGAGUUCGCUGCGUUGUUCCCCUUCAAAGAAAGCCUACGGAUGAUUUCGUCUUGCGCCAGUUUCACUCUUCCUCUAAACCAGUUGGUCAUAUCUGUCAAGGCAGCCUCCAAUGGAUUGAAAGCUAUAUCCUCUCUGACUGACGUUUGGGUCCUAGUCCAUGACGUUCCACCUGCGCUCCGCUCCACCACCUUCCUCAUGGCUUUCGAAUGCGGGUGUGGAGCGUUGACCCUCUUUGCAUCCGUGGCUCUAUUGAUGUCUUCCCCUCCGCUAGUGGUUUCCGUUUCAGGGUUCGGGUGGAGGGCGGCGGCUUCUCCGGGUCGCGCCCGUCCCGCGUCGGUGCGCUCUCCUGCUUCUACGGCCCCCACCUCCACCACCCAGCCUACCUCGGGCGACGGCGACAAGGACAACGACAGUGAUGGCCUCCCAGAUGAUUCUAACCAUGGCAAUGAGCAUCACUUCACCCAAUCUGAAUGGGAUGGGCUGACUUCUGAGGACCGUGAUCUGCUCAAGGAGAAUGCUCCGGUGGGGGGCGGGAACGAGGACGCAUUGGUGGGGGGGUUGCGGCAUCUGGUGGAGCUAGGGGCACCCCCUUCUCUAGUGUUUGCUCCAACAUCCCAGCCCGCCCCGCCUCCCCGUCCCUCUCUGUCUGCGGCGGGGCUUUGUCGCAGGCUUGAUGCUGAUUUGGGCGCGGCCUCGGGCCCCUCGUCGGCGGCGGCUUCUCCGGGUCGCGCCCGUCCCGUGUCGGUGCGCUCUCCUGCUUCUACGGCCCGCAAGAGUGAGCGCAUCUCCAACAGCGGCGAGAGGGUAGCUGAUCGGGCGGCGCGACGCACUGCGGCUAGGGAUCUGCCUCCCUCAGGUACUCCCCAAGGCUCUCCAACUCCCCCCAUUCCUGCUUCUUCUCCUGUUCGUCUAGUUCUUCAGUCGCAGUCCAAUGCUCAUCUUUUGCGUAUCUUAGAGGACGUUGGUAUUUCUUGUGAUCCUAGUUUUGGGUCUCCCUCUUCGUUAUUGGAUAUUAUCCGGGCUAAUGAAGUGGCACAUGCUGAUAUUGCUAGAGCUAAGGAGGCCGCGUCUAGGGCUAACGCCUCACUGGUUGUGGCCGGUGGGGUCGAGGGGGACCUAAAAGGGAUCAGGCUCCCUCCGCUGCGCUCGGCGCGGGGCUGGCAAACGGGUUUCGGUGCUAGGGGGCGCAGGGACCAACUUAAAGAUCUUGUCCGCUCUGAGAACAUAGAUAUCAUUGGCCUUGUUGAAACGCUUAAACCUUCCUUCUCCUCGAACGAACUCUUUGCAGUGGCUGGGAUUGAUAGGUUUGAUUGGAAUCAUUUGCCGUCCUCAGGUCACUCGGGUGGGAUUCUUCUCGGCACUAAAAGAGAUAUGUUCGACUUUGUCGCCUUUGAUUAUGGUAUUUUUUGGGCUAGUACUGUUGUAUCUAACCGCUCCCUCAAUGUACUCUUGGAAGUUAUGGUGGUUUACGGUCCGGCUGACCACUCUCUUUCUCAUAUAUUCUUGGAUGAAAUUCUGAAUAAGAUAGAGUCUUGUGACCUCCCUCUGCUUAUUGGUGGUGACUUUAACCUGAUGCGUUCCCCUCUGGAUAAAAAUUCGCCUAACUUUUCUUGGCCGCUCGCUGAUGCGUUCAACACUUUUAUCAGGGACUCUGCUAUCCAAAAAAUUCAUAGGGUUGGUGCCCGUUACACCUGGACGAAUCACCAAACGGCUCCCAUCCGCUCUGUUCUUGAUCGUGUUUUUAUUUGCCCCAGGUGGGACGCUCUGCUCCCUCGGGCCUCCCUGUGGGCCUUGCCCAUCGUGGGACCUGACCAUGCGCCCUUGAUACUUGACGAUGGGAUUCGAUCUGUUUCUUCUUCGCGUUUUCAGUUUGAUGCGUCUUGGCUCCUGGUUGAUGGUUUUGCUGACCUGAUUGCGAAUAAGAUCUCUUCUUUCCUUUCUUCGACUCGGCGUUCUUUCGGUCCGAUGGACGACUGGCACCAAUGCUCCUAUCUCCUUCGUAAAUUUUUGCGAGGGUGGGCUAUGAACCAUGCUGCCGAGUCAAGGCGCAACAAGGCUCAGUUCGCUGCUCAAAUUGGGUCCUUGGACGCUCACGCGGAUGGCUCUGGCCUCUCUCCCUCUGAAUCGCAGGCCAGGUACGAUUUAGAAGAGGCCUUGUUGGCCUUGCACCGGCAAGAGGAAGUUUAUUGGAAGCAAAGGGGCACCAUUAACUGGACUCUAAAGGGCGAUUUCCCUACUUCGUACUUCUUCGCCAUAGCCAACGGCAGGCGUCGUCGUUGCAUGAUCGAUAGCCUGCUUAUUAACAAUGUUAGGGUCUCUGAUCCCUCCCAAAUUAUGUCACACGUGGUUAACUUCUUGUCCUCUCUGUUCUCUCCUAAGCCUGAGGUAGGCUUUAGAUUGGCCAAUUCUUUCUGGGCCUCUCAGGAUCAGGUUUCGAGUGAGGAUAACGACGCCUUGCUGAUUCCCCCUUCUGAUGAGGAGAUUUUCGAUACGAUACGCACAUCCAAUUCAAAUGCGGCACCAGGCCCUGAUGGUUUCUCCAUUCCCUUCUUUAGGCAAUUCUGGCCUCAGCUGCGGGAUCUUGUCCACGCUAUCAUUCAAGGCCUCUGGCUGGGGACCGUUGAUAUUUCUCGUCUAAACUAUACUGUGCUUACUCUUAUUCCUAAAGUCAAAGGGGCUGACUUGAUUACCCAGUUUAGGCCUAUAGCCUUGAUCAAUAAUUUCGCGAAGCUUCCGGCUAAAGGCUUUGCCACUAGGCUAUCCCCCAUUGCCCACCGCUCCCUUAGCCCGUUCCAAACAGCUUUCAUUAAGGCAUGUUCAUUCUGGAUGGUAUUCUCUAUCUUCAUGAGAUCAUUCAUGAUCUGCGAGCCCGUGGCUCCAAAGCGUUGGUCACGGGUGGCCACACUGCGGUUUCGGUCAAUGGUAAGGGUUGUCACAGCCGGGCACAUUACUCCUGUCAGCUCUCACCUUGUUCCUAACGGCAUUUCUCACCUACAAUAUGCGGACGAUACCAUCAUUACGGUUGAGUUAAAUGAGGAGUGCAUUACCCACCUAAAAUUAUUCCUCCUUUGCUUCGAAGCGUUGUCUGGUCUCAAAAUCAAUUUCGCCAAGAGUGAAGUAAUUGUUACCGGGGUCUCGGAUGUUGAGGCCCAAAGAGUUGCUCACCUCCUUAACUGCUCUCUAGGAUCCUUUCCUUUCAAAUACCUUGGCAUCCCAAUCUCUCCCAUCAAACUCUUGGCUAGAGACUUUGCUCCGGCUGUCACUAAGGUGGGAAAUCGGGUCUUACCUUGGAGAGGUCGGUACAAUACCCAAGCGGGCAAGGUUGCCCUUACCAAUGCUGGCCUCUCUUCCCUCCCAAUCUUCCUGAUGGGAUUCUAUCUUCUCUCUGGAGGAAUCCAUGUUGGCUUCGACAAGCACAUGAGUGCCUUUUAUUGGAAUUCGGCUGAUAAUAAAUGCAAAUAUAGGAUGAGCCCUUUCUGGCUAACCAUCCUCAAGGCUAAGUACUUUCCGGGCUCGAGCCCCAUGUUUGCUUCACCUGCUGUUAGAAAUGGUAAGUCUACUCGUUUCUGGUUAGACUGGCGGUACGGGGAGUCCACCCUCGCAGUGGCUUUCCCGGCUCUUUUCUCUUACUGCCAUAAUCCAGAGAUCUCUAUCUUAGAGCUCUCUCUAAAUAACUGGGACCUAGACCUCCGCAGGACGCUCUCUCCUGUAGAGUUGGAAGACUGGCAUCGCCUCACUGCUUGCUUCCCCUUGCUCUCAGAGGAAGAGGACUCGGUCAUCUGGCCCCAUUCUUCUUCUAGUCGCUUUUCGGUCAAGUCGGUCUAUGCUAAAAUUAUCUCUGGCUCUCCCACGUCUAAAUUCAAUUGCAUUUGGAGAGCUCGUAUCCCCCCUACGAUCAAGAUUUUCUUGUGGCAAGCUUUCCGUGGGAAACUUCCCGCGGCGGAUCAAAUUCGGAAAAGGAAUGGUCCGGGCUCUGACAGAUGCGCUUUAUGUGGGGCCAUCGAAAACACUGACCAUAUUUUCUUUCAUUGUUCUCUGGCUAAAUUCGUGUGGAGCUAUAUUCGAUUUUGGUUGCAAGUGAACUGGAACCCGUCGUCCUUCAUGGACUUGAGGCGGCUUUCCAGUGGCUUAUCUGGCUCCUCUAAAAGGAUUUUCUGGGUGAGGUUUGUGGCGAUCUGUUGGUCGUUGUGGACCAUUCGCAACAAAUUUACCAUCGAGCUUUCCUUCCAGGCUAAUCCUCUGAGUUGCUUAUUUAAAACUGGUGUAUUCCUGCAGCAGUGGAGAUUAUUGAUUAAGUCCUUGGUGCAGCGGAUUCGCACUUUCUUGAUGAUGUACAAACAGUUUCAUGGUUGGAGCUACCUUGCUGACUGGGGACUCUGCUCUGGUGUGGGAGGCAUCGGAGGCACCUUCCACACCGGCAUAGUGAUGGCGGCGUCGUUGUCAUGGAAGUGCAGGACCUUUGGAAGCUCCUGGAGAUGUACCUUUGCGUACCAGAGUGGUUGA
rnacentral:rRNA from 1 species